rnacentral:rRNA from 1 species
GAUGAACGCUGGCGGCGUGCUUAACACAUGCCAGUCGAACGGAAAGGCCCAAGCUUGCUUGGGUACUCGAGUGGCGAACGGGUGAGUAACACGUGGGUGAUCUGCCCUGCACUUCGGGAUAAGCCUGGGAAACUGGGUCUAAUACCGGAUAGGACCACUUCUUGGAUGUUGUGGUGGAAAGUUUUUUCGGUGUGGGAUGAGCUCGCGGCCUAUCAGCUUGUUGGUGGGGUAAUGGCCUAACAAGGCGUCGACGGGUAGCCGGCCUGGGAGGGUGUACGGCCACAUUGGGACUGAGAUACGGCCCAGACUCCUACGGGGGGCAGCAGGGGGGAAUAAUGCACAAUGGGGGCAAGCCUGAUGCAGCGACGCCGCGGGGGGGAUGACGGCCUUCGGGUUGGAAACUCCUUUCGCUAGGGACGAAGCGUUUUGUGACGGUACCUGGAGAAGAAGCACCGGCUAACUACGUG